ensembl:rRNA 5S_rRNA 5S ribosomal RNA
GUCUACAGCCAUGCCUACCCUGAAUGUACCUGAUAUCCUCUGAUCUCGGAAGCUAAGCAGGGUCGGGGUCAGUUAGUACCUGGAGGGGAGGAAUGCUUGAUGAGGUAGGUG